rnacentral:misc_RNA from 1 species
UGUGUACGGACUGCCAUCAAACUGCGGAGGAAGUACUUCUAUAAGCUGAUUAAAGGUAGAAAUCCAGCAGCCCAAAAUGGUGACUGAGUGUUUGGACUCUUCUAUUUGUUUAGAUGGCAAGUCAGAUCUCUCAUGUGGAGUUGUUAACUGUAAUAUGAUUUUAGCGUUGGAGUGCGGAACAAUUAUCAGAUAUAGUUUUCUUUGGAGUUUAUAUAACAGCAUGUGGUUGGCAUUGAGUAUAUGUCCAUGCACUACCUUCAUGCAAGGACUGUUAAGUUGCAUGUUUCAUUUACCUUGUUUGGUGAAUACAAUCAAGUGGCUAGGGAAUACAAA